CCUCCCCUCUUCCUCGUCACCGGCCGCCUCAACAUCUCGCUCUCGCCCUCCUCCGUGGAACCGCGUCCGGGCUGCUGAGGUCGACGACGAGUACCCCGAGAAGUUCCUCAAGGAUGCUUAGAGCUGCAUCAACGCUGUCGAGGAACACCCUGAGCUGGAGGAAUGGCACAGGAUCCAAUCCUUAGACCUUCAUCCACUUGGUUAUUAUCUGCACCAAAUACCCUCAGACCUCUCUAUCUAUGCGUUGCUUAGGUUAAUUUUUGUUAGCUACAAGAUGCAAUGAUGGAUUCAUCUAAUUAUUUUGUGAAAAAGUUCGCUCUGUAGAAUUAAGAAGCAGCUGCAGAUAAAAAGUUGGUUCCAGUUUGAGUUUUUCGUUCUUCUAUAUGUGGGUGUACUUAGCUGAGGUGAGGAAAUAAGAAGUUCAGAUUUCACUGAGGCAGACAGCACUCGGUUAAAUGAUUAAUAUGCAGCUCUGUUAUUAUUUAUAUAAAUAAAAGGUGUACAUCCACAUUAGCCGCGUCGAGAAUUUUAGCCCCUUUUGUUUUGUGACACACACCAUCUCCAUAUGUAUAUGCCUAAUGCUUUGAAUGUCAAAAUGAGGUUGGAGCUGAAUAUGCUUAAGCAGUCUGCUUACUGUGCUGAAAUGUUUUUUUGCAGGUCUGGGCAAUCACUGACAGUCUGCAGUUCGCCAAUUUGCAUUAUAAUAGAAACAAUUCAGUCCUCAUCUAUGCUUGAAGUGCAGGUACAUACUGUUAAUUGACUACAGGUUUAGCUAUUUCAUUGCUACUAGUAAGCGGCGUGCACCAUUGCAUCCAGUAUGAUAUGGGUCCUUCAAUCUCCACAAAUAAGCAUUUAGCUUCCAUAAAACUGGAAUAGAACAGUUUUCCCAUUCAUAAACACUCAAAUAUAGCAGUUUUGUCAUUUAUGAACACUGGACUAGUAGACACUGGAGACUGGACUAGAAUAACUCAAAUACAGUCCCUUCUCUGAUGGCUGAGUAGUUUGAACUUUGGAGACUUAAUCUUCUGGACAAGAGUAGUUUUUUCCAGUAACGCAGGGCCUGGGUUUCUCUGUUAAUUGUAGGGUGGCAAAGUUAGGAGGCGAAAUGAUUGGGACGAAUGGUUGAUUCCUCUAGAGAGUAACGUUUGUAUUCCGUCAAGCUCUGCAGCUGUGCCAGGUCCCAUUGUCAAUAAUCUGACAGCACACCUUGGAGGUGUGGUUCUGAUAUUGUUAGUAAGGCCGCACAUGAUUUGGUGUACAAUUACUCUUCCAAGGCUAUACUAAUAGAUAAUCCUGGUCAUUCUCUAAUUUUUCCUAUCGUGGAUCACCCACUACAAAGUGACGGUAAUGGGGAUAUUUGUCGGAACCGAAAAAAGUUGUAGUGCUUCAUCCUGGCUACGAAGAUAGAAUGGGCUGAAAAGGCAUUGGUUGCAGAUGAAGGAAAAUAAAGAAUCGUUGAUUUAUUCCUAUGGUCGGUAGCGCUAUAUACACCGGAUUGGGCCAAGGUAUAACUGCGUUGAUGUAACUUUAUCGACCUUGCUGCAUUCCAUGUUUUUCACUUCCUUAUGUUGAUGGUGAUUCCUUUCUUCCAGUGCAGACCUGGAUUGUAGAAUUGCUUGCUUCAGUUGAGGCUUCUGACUGUCCUUUGCGGUUCACAAAUAGAUUGUAGGAUGUUUUGAUUGAUCUGUGAGAUGUGCUACCCUGAAAUGCUGUUCACAAAUAGAUUGACUGUCCUUCAGUUGAGGCUUCUGACUGUCCUUUGGUGGUUUUUCACAUUUGUUCAGGUAACCACCUACCGACUAUACCUUCUGAAAUGCUGUAUGCAAAUUGGUUCUCCUGUUGGUGGUUCUUUCUCGUGUGCUUACGUGUUAUAUGGCUGCUAUGGGUUUGAAAUGGUUGCAAUGUCAUACUUUUCAGAUCCAUGAACUGAGCUAAACUUUCUGAAUUCUGAUAGAAUGAGAAGCCUACAGUGAAUAUGUCCAAAUGUUCCUCUAUCACCAUAGCCUAAAUUAAUAUAUAGGAAUUUAAUUUUAUUUUUUAUUCCUGUUGGGUUCACAUGUAAUGUAUUCAGCUAUAAUACACCAGUGAAUUAGACAUAUCAUCUUUUAUGCUGAAUCAGCACCACUGCAUUAUGUAGCUAUGUUCACCACAGGUUAUGAGUUUGUUUUUUGUAUUACUUUAACAGCAUGUUAAUUUUUCACAAAUCUCCUGCUUCAGCUAUAGAUUUCUUUGUACAACAUGCGCAAAUUAUUGAUCUUAUUCCGAAGUCUUAUUCUGCGGUGUUUAACUGCAGGCUGAGUUCAAUUUGUUUUUGUGCCAGAAACGGAACAGGUAGUGCUCUAACCUCAGCAGCAUAUGGUCUAAAUUUCAUACUUAGGGUCAUUCAAAUAUCUGGAAUAUUAGUCCUGAGUCAAGGUAAUUUUCCUCAUCCCCUUAAUGUAUCAUGGAAAUUUACGUCCACCUUUGUGCUUGCUUGUUAAAAAUUGCUCAUUUGGUUCUUUGUUCAGAUUUAUGAUCAUUACGAUUUACUACUUCACCAUAGAUUUACAACAACAAUAUUUGUUUUGUUCUAGAUCAACUGUUACGGGAAUACAUUAUUCCCGAAGUUCUUUUAGCUGUAUUGGUCAUAGCACUGUUUUUUUUUCUGCUUUUGUAGUUGAAGGGUUAGUUACACUCUGAUUUUGUAGCAUUUUUUCCAUGUGAGAGAGAUUGUAUAUUGUUGUCAUCCUGAAACAAUGCUGGAGCUCUAAAGAAAAAGCUAGCAGUACUCCAUGGUUAUAGGUUGUACAAAUAGUAUGGUAAUGUUGCAUUCACUGUAGGAUGACCAUGAUGCACCAAAUUUGAGAAACUCGUGAGGUGAAUUAAUUGGUGCUUAACCUAAUUUCGCUUGGCCGCCCAGCAACUUCGUUUCUGUGUAAAUGGUGCAUCUGUAUAUGAAAUGGUUAUGCGUUUUGAUAUUUGUCAUCUAAUUUUUUUGAAGAGUUGCGAUAGAUUCUAAGCAGUUGCAGUUCAUGAUUUUCCUCUUUAAUAUCCAUGUCAUUCAGUCAAGAUAGUGCGCAAAGUUUCUGGUUGUUUUUAUUUCUCCAGGCAGUGAAAACAUGUUGAUUUCUUGACCACAUCAAGUGAUACAUGUUAUGUUAAGUGUUUAAAUAUUUUUUUGCUCAUGUUUCUCCCGGACCAGCACAAUGGAAUGAACUUUACAACAUUUAGUUAGCAUAUUAUAUAUUUUCUGAGGGAAAAUGGCAGGCGCUCUGCCUUUGUUAUAGAUUAUGAAUGUACAAGAGAAAACACAAUGGAGAAAGAGAGGGAGGAAGCAAAGGAAAACGAAGAAGCAGUCACCCCAGGCGCUGCCUGUACACGGAUGUUCAGCUAAGGUUCUACUACAUUCAGCCGGAUGAGCUGCAGAUCAUUGACAACACCACCACCAACAGAGACUGGGCAUGAGGCCGUGUUUGUGAAGAUACUGUUCCUUUCGUUCCAGAUGUGCCAAGCAAAAUAUGCCCCUGUAACAGCCGUGUGCUUUGGCCCUCCAGCAAGGUGCGGCCGCCACUUGCCAAUGGAGUUGAAGGAUGUGAUGUUUACUUGUUGGAUAGCUGGAUUUGAAGCGCCAAGUUUGAACCACAUUUCAGCGGUGAAAGGGCAUUGACAGAAGAGGUGAGCUGCAGAUUCGAUAUCUGAUCGCAUAGGGCGCAUUUGUCGUCAUGUUGGCUGCCCCGGUCGCGAAUUCUGUCUGCAGUUGGAAGCCUGUUUUGGGCUAGCAGCCAAGUAGAGAAACGAACUUUUCCUUCCAUUUUCAGCCUCCAGAUGGCAUUCAGAUGGGGCUUGUGCAUGGCUCCAAUAAGAGCCAGACGCCGUCCAAUUCCAAGAUAUGGAGUCAGGGGUGUGGUCAAGCUGGAUGUGCUGGGGCUUGCUCCAAAGAUCCACGAAGGAAUCGAUCUCGUCAGAAGAGUUGAUACGCUGAAGGCCCUUCAUCCAUCUGUCAUCCGAGAGGGCAGCUGCAACCGUCAGGUUCUUCCUUCUUGCCAGAUUGAAAAGCUUUGGAGCAAGGUCUAUCAGAGCAGAGCCAAAAAGGCGUAAGCUUUCCAUCGCCCAGCGAAACAGUGGUGGAUGCACGAAACAAGCUCAAAUCACCCGCAGAGCAGGCCAGUGGGAAGCAAGUCCAUGGUCGGGAUGGGUUCUUCCAGGCAGUCCAAGGUCAUCAUAGGUGAAGAGCUGUACUGUAGGCGUCCAGAUUCUUGAUGCCAAGACCACCCAUUCGCUUUGGGGUGUAUACCUGUUUCCAGUUGACGGCACAGUGCCCUCCUUUAGCAUCUUCAUCUCCUCUCCACAGAAAACUGUGGCAAAUCUUGUCGAUGCGCUUGAUGAUCCACUUAGAAGGUGCAAAAAGAGUGAGGUAGUAAGUGGUUAUGGAAGUUAGAACAAAGUUGAUUUGCGUCAAUCUGCCAGCCUUGUUCAAAAGUUUCCCCUUCCAUCCAGCAAAGCUUGGCGGCUAUCUUGUCAAUGAGGAGUUGAAAGUCAAUUCUUCUUAGUUUUCUGAUGUUGAGUGGUACACCUAGAUAUCUGCAAGGGAACGAGCUGACCUCCCCCUGAAACGCAGAGAGCACCUCUUGAAUGAUGUUAUCAUCACAGCAGACAUGGUACGCGGAGGAUUUGCUGAAAUCGGUCUGCAGCGCGGAGAUGUGACCGAAGGACCCCCGGCCUCUGCAUCUGGGCGAUGCAUACGGCCACUUUAUUAAUUAUUCUCACAAGACCUUACAAAGUCAUACAACAGUAAGACUAAAGCCACCGUCUAAGCAACAACUGUCGCUACUCCUCUCCAAUUGAUGAAGGGGCGCUGAUAGUCUGGGCCUAAUACCAAACAGACAUCGCAGCCAAACCUAAACAUCUAAGACCUGAGGUCCCAACCAGGACGCCUGCCUGGUAUGGAGCACCUACCAGUCCGGCGCACUCCUCAACCAGGACGCCUGCCGGGUAUGAGGCCGCCGCAGCCACCUGCCACCAAUCCAUCUUCAGUGAUGUACUGCUGCACCACCUUGUCCGGCCUCUCUGCUAUCGACGCCACCACGACGCAUGAUAACGUCACCCUCCUGCGCCGGAACGAAGCCACCGAGCCCCAUCGAGGGCGGCCAACGGGGGCGGAGAAGCUAGAUCCGGCCAAGCCCGGCCAGGAUCCGACCUCUCCCCGCGCUGAAGCCGAGGUUGCGCCCGCAGGGCCAGAUCCGAGCCGGAUCCGCGCCUGCGCCAGCCCCGAUCCGCCGCCACGCCAUGGUCUUGCACCGUGCAGCCACCACGGCCUGGACGCCUGCCCACACCGCAUGGCCGAGAGCCCCGCCGCCGCCACGCCCCGCACCAGCGUCACGCCCCCGCCGCGCCGCCGCAUCUCGCGCUGCCGCCACACACCGGGAGGGGAAGAGAACCCUGCCGCCGCCGACGCCCACGGGCUUCGCCCGGUGGCGCCCUCCGGCGGCGGCAGGGGAAGGGAGGUUGGAGGAGGCGGCCGCGGAGUUGAGGCUAGGGUUCGCCCGACGCCGUUUGCGAGAGCAACGCGGGGCAGUUACUGGUCUUUGCUGAUGUUAAGAAUGGCCAACUGAUUGAACUUGUUCACAGCAUUAGCAGUAAUCUUGAUAAACUUGGCAUUCCUGACCUUCUAUUUUUGACGUUCUGUUCUGUUGACCUAUUUGCAGGUUUUUACAGAGGAAUUAGUCCAGGUGCUACUGGUUCACUUGCUACAGGUGCAACAUAUCUUGAGUCAACUAAGACAUGGAUGGAGAACGCUAAUCCUAAUCUAAGAGGUCAUUGGUCUCACUUUAUUGCUGCAGGAAUUGGUGAGAAAUUGUGUUUUUAUGUCUACUGUUUUUUGUUUCCGAAAAAUCUGCACGAUGCUGUGUAAAAUUUAGAAUGGUUCUCAGCAUCUAUUCGAGCAUGCUAGCUUUCUGUUUUUACGCGCACAUUUCUGGAAGCAUGAAUGCAUGUUCAUGGAGCAAACUGGGUCGAUUUUUGUGUAAAAAAAGCGAUACUAUCCGCACGAAGUUGUCUUAUUGCACUCAUUACUAAACAUAUGCAUAAUCCCUUCAUUUGACAGGCAUUGCAAUCAUUUGCCUCUGAUCUUCCUAUUUGCUUGUUCCGCGGGACAAAACUUGGGAACAAUGGGUUGCCAAGUGAGACAAAUCCAAGAGAGCGAGGAAGAACUGAAAGGAGAAGAAGUGCAUGGGUCUGCUUUUAGUCGAGACAGGCGAAAUCAAAGUGCAUUGGCGUUAUUGUUUUUGUAUCAUAUUAUGCAUGUAUUUUGCAAAUUGCUUGACAGCAAAAACGGAAGAAUUGUGUAAUAGUCAAGCAGGCCGUCCAGGAAUGUAUGGCUUGAUAAAUGAUAACUUUGUUCUGUUUUUACUUGCAUGUUACUUACUCGAAACGUCGAAGUGGAAUCUUAUUGAUUUGGAGUACUGAGUACUCCCUCCG
rnacentral:lncRNA from 1 species